UUACAAAUCAAAAUAUUAGGAGUCUUUAUUCUCUUGUUUUUGUAGAAAAUUUCCUCUUUGGAUUGGUAUUAAUUGAAGAUAUAUUUGAUGCAUAUUGCAGAUUCGUCUUUGAUCCAGGAGGAAGAAAAGUGGAUCUAAAAGAAUAAGGCCAUUCCAAGAUGGCCAUGCUCCAAAGAAUGUGUGGAGCUUCUUCAUAAGGCGAUUGCCAGAUUUGAGGGCAAAUCUUUUUUUUAAGAGGGAGGGUAUGAUGGAAUCCUGUCUCAUGUAGUCCUCUUUUUACAUUUCAUUGUAUUAGUAGUGUAGCUUGUAAGGAGCUUGGGUCACUAUAAAUACCCAGCUCCUCAUUGUAUUCCUUACUUUUGAGCUUAAUGAGAAUAAAUUUUUCUAAUUCAGAAAAUUAUUCUCUCUUGAAAGUCACAGGCUAGAGAGUCCAAAGACCUCUAGCCACCUUCCAAAGCACACUUCUUACUAUUCAUUUUCCAAAUACUCCACUGUGCUUCUCUCUCAUCCACCAUCGACCACUCCUUUGCUGCCACAUAUCACCUCGUUUGCGUCAGCGAGUCAGCGUCAAUAGCUGAGGCCAUUUCCAUUCAGCGCUUCAGACACACAUCAUUCAUUCCCCAAAUCACUCUCAGCGUCUUUUCCAUCGAGAGUUGUCUCUCUCGAACUCACCUUGUCUCCGACCACCGGCCAAACUCAGAUCCACCAUAUUCUCCACAGAUCUGCCACUUCCUUCACGGAUUCAUCACCUCCGGUUCCUUCUCUUUCAGUUUCACCGAUUACAUUCGUCUAAAUCUAGGGUUCUUCCCUCUUUUGCAAUUUCUUUCGAUUUUGACCAGUUAAAUCUUUCUUUGCUCCGAUCUAGUCCAUUUCCACCGAUUAAAACACCAUUCCCACCGUUUAAUCGAUCCAAAUUGAGUUUUCCCCUUCUUCUAGGGUUUUGUCGGUCUAGGUCUUGGAUCUCUGAGUUCCUUUCUCAGAUUCAGUCUGUUCUUCUCAGAUUUGGUUUGAUCUCUUCCGGUUUCUCUCUCGAUCUAGCCAUUCCGCUGUGUCAUCUCUCUGGAGGAAGCUUCGAGGAGCUCGCGUCGUGUGUACGGUCUCCUUCUCGGAGCCUUCUUCCAUCA
rnacentral:lncRNA from 1 species